rnacentral:rRNA from 1 species
AGCGAACGCCGGCGGCAGGCUUAACACAUGCAAGUCGAACGCCCCGCAAGGGGAGUGGCAGACGGGUGAGUAACGCGUGGGAACAUACCCUUUCCUGCGGAAUAGCUCUGGGAAACUGGAAUUAAUACCGCAUACGCCCUACGGGGGAAAGAUUUAUCGGGGAAGGAUUGGCCCGCGUUGGAUUAGCUAGUUGGUGGGGUAAAGGCCUACCAAGGCGACGAUCCAUAGCUGGUCUGAGAGGAUGAUCAGCCACAUUGGGACUGAGACACGGCCCAAACUCCUACGGGAGGCAGCAGUGGGGAAUAUUGGACAAUGGGCGCAAGCCUGAUCCAGCCAUGCCGCGUGAGUGAUGAAGGCCUUAGGGUUGUAAAGCUCUUUCACCGAUGAAGAUAAUGACGGUAGUCGGAGAAGAAGCCCCGGCUAACUUCGUGCCAGCAGCCGCAGUAAAAC